GAAACAAUUGUUGAUAAAUAAUACUCCAAAUUGACAACAACACUUCAAAUUAGAUACCAAGCUAGGCUUUAGAACAAUUUCAUGUAUCAUAUAAUAGUAAAACGAACUCAAUUUACAUUGUAAAGAAACUUUAAUUUUCUAUAUUUAUCUUAUCUAUUUAGAACUCUAUUGCUAAUUUCACUUUUCAUUGUUUCUCUCACCAUGACGUCAAAUUUAAUGCACCACUUUGAGUACUUCAGGGAUGAAUUUCUGUAUAAAAAUUGUCCUGAUGAAGCCUGCCUUGCAGGCGAUACAUGUAGACCACAGCAAAUAAAAUUGCAGACCAUUUGAAGUGUUGUUGUCAAUUUGGAGUAUUAUUUAAAUGUUGCAUUCAUUUGCAUAAUUUGACAACCCGGCAUAUCAAGGUAUCCACUUCAGGGACUCUAUCGAAAUGAUUCACACAGGCGUUGGUUCACCUCUUGGAGUUUAGUUGUUGAUAAAGUUAAUGAAAUAUUUAAUGUUUUAUAUAUAUUAAAAUGUUAAUUGAAUAUUUUAUAUAUAAAUUAAUAGAAAUAAGGUUGAGUCCCCCAUUAACAGUUUGAUUUUUCCCAACAAAAAAGCUAGGGUCUGCCCCUGUCACUAUUCUUAGUAAAAAAUGAUUUUGCCCUGCCCAAGUUUGCACAUGCCAAUCUCGCAGAUAAAUAUUGAACAGUCCCUAAAUAAAACCACAUUUAAAAGAAUGUCUGUUUCCCCUCCCCCGGGUCUACCCUUUGUAAACAGACCAGGAAGGCAGGUUCUUUUUUUUUUUUUUUUUUUUGAACUGGUAGUGAUUGUCAUAGCAUGGUCACAUGAAUAGACCACUUUCAAGUUCAUCCGUCACUGGAAAAAACUCGUCAAUUAUACGCGCCUUUAUCACCGUCAUUUUUGCGUUUAGGGGCGUCGUCACUUCCUCCCAAUGUUGAGAGAGUGGUUGGAAAACUAUAAUUCUAUAUUGUACGAAUUAUUCGGCAAAUUGAAUUCUCAAAAUUGACAAUCAACACUGCUGUCAUUAGGGAAUUGUCAGUAAGUACCUACAGAGCAACCAUUAUUUCUAGUUUAUCCUGCACAAAGACGAUCACUAAGACGCUUGAUGAACGUAAAUAGUGCAGGGAUACAGGCGAGCUCCUCUAUCUGGUAAGUGACGUCAUAAAGGAGUGCAUAAUUGACGAGUUUUUGCCGGUGACGGAUGAACUCGAAAGUGGUCCAUUGUUUGACUUGUCCAGUCCAGGCCACUUAUCAGUUGUUUGUGCUCAAUUUUAUUGUAUUUAAUUUUAUUUAGAUUAUCAAUCCUUCAGCUUUCAAGCACUUUCCAAAAAUUGAAACAAAUUAUUUUCAGGAAAGGGGGGGGGGAAGGGAAACAAACAUAUUUUUAAUUUUGGCCUAGCAAGUUUUUAAAUAUCAUAUCUUAUGAACUUUUAAAUUUAAUCCAAUUCAAUUAUCGGAAAAGUAAUGCCCUUAAAUAUUGUUACUAUGACAGUAAAAAUUAAUCACAGCUGUGACAACAUCUU
rnacentral:lncRNA from 1 species